UACGGGGGGUGCGAGCGUUGUCCGGAAUCACUGGGCGUAAAGGGCGCGUAGGUGGUUUGAUAAGGGUGUGGUGAAAGUCCGGAGCUCAACUCCGGAUCUGCCGUGCCGACUGUCAAACUCGAGGGCUGUAGAGGCAGACGGAAUUCCGGGUGUAGCGGUGGAAUGCGUAGAGAUCCGGAAGAACACCAGUGGCGAAGGCGGCCCGCUGGGCAGUGGCUGACGCUGAGGCGCGACAGGCGUGGGGAGCAAACAGG
rnacentral:rRNA from 1 species